rnacentral:lncRNA from 1 species
AGAAAACUUAAUGCAAAUGUUCAUAAUUAUUCAGCAUCAUAAUGUUUCAGUUAUUACAUAUGGGAGAUUUAUAGAAAUUUACAUAUGGCCUUCAGUACUGUGGUCUUUGGAAUAUCUAAAUACAGUAGGACUCCUUAUCUGGAGGGAUAAAUUCAAGGCUCUCCACAAAUACCUCAAACCAUGGGUAGUAGCAAAUGAUAUAUAUUGUACAUGCUGUACACAUCUAUGAUAGAGUUUAAUUUAUAAAUUUGGCACAAUAAGACAUUAAGAACAAUAAUUAAUAAUAUAAUUUUAUUUUAAUAGUUUUAUGAAUGUGGUCUUUUUAAAACAUUAUUCUGUAUUCACCUUUCUUCUUUGUUCUUCUUCUUGUGAUGAUGAUACAAUGCCUAUGUGAUAUGAUGAAAUGAAC